rnacentral:rRNA from 1 species
UACGUAGGGGGCAAGCGUUAUCCGGAUUUACUGGGUGUAAAGGGAGCGUAGACGGCAGCGCAAGUCUGGAGUGAAAUCCCAUGGCUUAACCAUGGAACUGCUUUGGAAACUGUGAAGCUGGAGUGCAGGAGAGGUAAGCGGAAUUCCUGGUGUAGCGGUGAAAUGCGUAGAUAUCAGGAGGAACACCGGCGGCGAAGGCGGCUUACUGGACUGUAACUGACGUUGAGGCUCGAAGGCGUGGGGAGCAAACAGG